rnacentral:ncRNA from 1 species
CUGGUUGAUCCUACCAGUAGUAUACGCUUGUCUCAAAGGUUAAGCCAUGCAUGUCUAAGUACAAACAGUUUUAAUGUGAAACCGCAUAAGGCUCAGUAUAACAGCUAUAAUUUACAAGAUCAUUCACCUAGUUACUUGGAUAACUGUGGUAAAUCUAGAGCUAAUACAUGCAAUAUGCAGGGACCUCGCGGAACCUGUGCAAUUAUUAGUCAAACCGAUCGUCCUUCGUGACGCUUGAGUUGAAAUCUGGAUAAUUUUGUUGAUCGCAUGGUCUCGCACCGGCGACAGAGCUUUCAAAUAUCUGCCCUAUCAACUAUUGAUGGUAGUAUAGAGGACUACCAUGGUUGCAACGGGUAACGGGGAAUCAGGGUUCGAUUCCGGAGAGGGAGCCUGAGAAAUGGCUACCACAUCCAAGGAAGGCAGCAGGCGCGUAAAUUACCCAAUCCCGGCACGGGGAGGUAGUGACGAGAAAUAACAAUAUAAGACUCUUUUAUGAUGUUUUAUAAUUGGAAUGAACCGAGCAUACAUCCUUCGGUAAGGAUCAAGUGGAGGGCAAGUCUGGUGCCAGCAGCCGCUGUAAUUCCAGCUCCACUAGCGUAUAUU